GGCCGUCUAGCUCAGUUGGUUAGAGCGUCGUGCUAAUAUUUGAAUGCCGAUACGAUUUAUACGCGAAGGUCUUGGGCUCGACCCCCACGAUGGCCA